rnacentral:misc_RNA from 1 species
GAUGUAGAACGUAGCGAAAUGCGAUAAGUAAUGCGAAUUGCAGAUCUCCGUGAGUCAUUGAAUCUUUGAACGCACAUUGCGCCCUCGGGUAUUCCCGAGGGCAUGCCUGUCCGAGCGUCAUUAUCCAACCAUCAAGCUCGGCUUGCGGUUGAGCCCCGCACCGUCCCCGGGACGGUGGGCUCGAAACAUGUUGGGCGCCCGUGAGGUUGUCGGUGCAGCGAGCUCUCGAGCACGUGCCGGGCAACCGCUCUGGGCGUCGGCCAGCCCCCCCAUUUUCUCAGGUUGACCUCGGAUCAGGUAGGAAUACCCGCUGAACUUAAGCAUAUCAAUAAGCGGAGGA